rnacentral:rRNA from 1 species
GUUAUCAAAAACAUAGCCUCUAGCAACAACAAGUAUUAGAGGUAAUGCCUGCCCAGUGACACUGUUAAACGGCCGCGGUAUCCUAACCGUGCAAAGGUAGCGUAAUCACUUGUCUUUUAAAUAAAGACUAGAAUGAAUGGCCAAACGAGGUUCCACCUGUCUCUUACAAACAAUCAGUGAAAUUGGUCUUCCCGUGCAAAAGCGGGAAUAACACUAUAAGACGAGAAGACCCUGUGGAACUUUAAAUAUAAAUCAACUAUUAUAUUUACCACCCUAAAGACUUAUAAUUAACUAGUUCUGAUCCAUAUUUUUGGUUGGGGUGACCUCGGAGUAAAACAAAACCUCCGAAAAAAAGAACAUAUUUUCUUAACCUAGAUUUACAACUCAAAGUGCCAACGGCAAAAUGAUCCAAUAUAUUUGAUCAACGAACCAAGCUACCCCAGGGAUAACAGCGCAAUCCCAUCCUAGAGUUCCUAUCGACGAUGGGGUUUACGACCUCGAUGUUGGAUCAGGACAUCCUGAUGGUGCAACCGCUAUCAAGGGUUCGUUUGUUCAACGAUUAAUAGUCCUACGUGA